UGGAAAGAAAGAACUGACUCCUUCAGGUUGU
rnacentral:piRNA from 1 species